rnacentral:rRNA from 1 species
UGGUGGAGUGAUUUGUCUGCUUAAUUGCGAUAACGAACGAGACCUUAACCUGCUAAAUAGCCCGGUCCACGUCUGUGGUCCGCUGGCUUCUUAGAGGGACUAUCGGCUCAAGCCGAUGGAAGUUUGAGGCAAUAACA